UACGGGAGGCAGCAGGGGGGAAUAUUGCACAAUGGGCGAAAGCCUGAUGCAGCAACGCCGCGUGAGCGAUGAAGGCCUUCGGGUCGUAAAGCUCUGUCCUCAAGGAAGAUAAUGACGGUACUUGAGGAGGAAGCCCCGGCUAACUACGUGCCAGCAGCCGCGGUAAUACGUAGGGGGCUAGCGUUAUCCGGAAUUACUGGGCGUAAAGGGUGCGUAGGUGGUUUCUUAAGUCAGAGGUGAAAGGCUACGGCUCAACCGUAGUAAGCCUUUGAAACUGGGAAACUUGAGUGCAGGAGAGGAGAGUGGAAUUCCUAGUGUAGCGGUGAAAUGCGUAGAUAUUAGGAGGAACACCAGUUGCGAAGGCGGCUCUCUGGACUGUAACUGACACUGAGGCACGAAAGCGUGGGGAGCAAACAGGAUUAGAUACCCUGGUAGUCCACGCCGUAAACGAUGAGUACUAGCUGUCGGAGGUUACCCCCUUCGGUGGCGCAGCUAACGCAUUAAGUACUCCGCCUGGGAAGUACGCUCGCAAGAGUGAAACUCAA
rnacentral:rRNA from 1 species